GAUGAACGCUGGCGGCGUGCCUAAUACAUGCAAGUCGAGCGAACAGAUAAGGAGCUUGCUCCUUUGACGUUAGCGGCGGACGGGUGAGUAACACGUGGGUAACCUACCUAUAAGACUGGGAUAACUUCGGGAAACCGGAGCUAAUACCGGAUAAUAUUUCGAACCGCAUGGUUCGAUAGUGAAAGAUGGUUUUGCUAUCACUUAUAGAUGGACCCGCGCCGUAUUAGCUAGUUGGUAAGGUAACGGCUUACCAAGGCGACGAUACGUAGCCGACCUGAGAGGGUGAUCGGCCACACUGGAACUGGGGCACGGUCCAGACUCCUACGGGAGGCAGCAGUAGGGAAUCUUCCGCAAUGGGCGGAAGCCUGACGGAGCAACGCCGCGUGAGUGAUGAAGGUCUUCGGAUCGGAAAACUCUGUUAUUAGGGAAGAACAUACGUGUAAGUAACUGUGCACGGCUUGACGGUACCUAAUCAGAAAGCCACGGCUAACUACGUG
rnacentral:rRNA from 1 species